UUUCCGUAGGUGAACCUGCGGAAGGAUCAUUACUGAACUGUCAACAUGAGUUGUUGCUGGUCCUCAGUGGGGACAUGUGCACGCUCUGUUAACACAUCCAUUCACACCUGUGCACCCUCUGUAGUUCUUAUGGUGUGGGGGACCCUGUCCUCCUGCCAUGGUUCUACGUAUUUACACACACACUGUUACAAAGUCUUAUGGAAUGUACACCGCGUUUAACGCAAUACAAUACAACUUUCAGCAACGGAUCUCUUGGCUCUC
rnacentral:misc_RNA from 1 species